AAAAAAACGUGGCUCCCGACCUUAAAAAAAAAAAACCUGAAUAUGCAGCAGCAUGUACAGUUCAAAGAUUGUGUUCUGUUCCUUCUGUGCUUAGUAGCCUUGAAAAUAAAUCUAAGAUUCUUCUGUCUAAAGUUGGCAGUAUUACAGUACUCUCGCUAACAAGCAGCUUAGGUGACGUUUUCUUUGCAUGACAGUUGAGUUUGUUUUGCUUUUUAUUUGCUUUUUAAUUUUGUACUGAGUGUCAAUAUUCAUAACUGUAUGUUUUCUCAUCUUUUUAAGUGCAUAUAGUUAUUUUUGUCUGAAGAUGACUGAUAUGCAGGGUGAUUAUUUUAAUGAGUUUGGUCAUGAGGAUGGUUGUGUUGGUGAUGAGGUGUUGCAUGCUUUUCUACAGGAUUCUGUGUUAGUGCAGAAUGCCAUUUUGUACAUAGAUCAAGAGAACAGCUGGAAUAGUUCAAUCAACAGAUUGCACUGAUGUGCAGCAGUUUGUCAAGAGGUCCCAGACGAUCACCUCAGCUCGUGGCAAAUCAUCCCCCAAAGUAUACGCGGUGUAAGGACAAUGCUCCAGUAGGGGGUGUAAUUAUACAGAUGAAAGCACAAAAUAAGAUGUGGCAGAUUAGUGCUUAUAAUGUAACUAGCUGUGCAGUAAAGAUUUUGUAUCAAAUCUAAAACAAUCUGGUCAGAGACAGUAGCAGUGUUUCACUGAGAUAAUCCAGUGUGUUCACUCUGACCCACUCUGCCAUCGUCUUUAUCCAGUAACAACACCGAGCUGGCUCAUCUUUGUAGAGUAUCCUUCACUCGGACUCGUUCAUUUAUUUAUCGGCAGUUUGACACUUUCGAAUUCCCGCUUUUUGUCAAAUUUCAUUUUGUUCUGUACAGUGAUAUUGAUCCUCUAGUUCUCUUGAUUCUUCAGAUUAUUGCUGUUCUGUUUUGUGCUACGUGUGUUUCUCUAACUUGAAGAAAAUGUGUUAAGAUAUUAUCAAUAAAUGACCAUUUAAUUAGAA